UUGAAAGGGAAACGAUUGAAGUCAGUCGNGCUGGCGCGAAAUCAACCUUCUCGUCUUGAGAUCACAUGGCGUGGCGAGCCUCAAAACCGUCACGAAGCGUGAACUCUUGGUGAAAUGGAGCACUUUCGUGUCCGCUGGUUAACAUCAAUUUCGAACGUCAUAAAAAGGCUGGAGGGAUGUGGCUCCCUUCGGGAGUGUUAUAACCUUUAGCGGAAUGUGGUGUUCGGGAUUGAGGAUUGCAACGAAUACCUUUAGGGCUGUUCCACCUGGCUUCUCUUUGGUAUCCUGGUGACGACAGCUUGCUGACGUCGUUAGGAUUCGCCUUUGAACAGGCUAGAGUGUGAGCAAAUUCGUUAAGGAUGUUGACGUA
rnacentral:rRNA from 1 species